GAGACUGCCGGUGUUAAGCCGGAGGAAGUGGGGAGUGACGUCAAGUCCUCAUGGCCUUUAUGCCCAGGGCUACACACGUGCUACAAUGGGUGGUACAAAGAGAUGCCAACUCGCGAGAGCGCGCCAAUCUCAGAAAGCCAUCCUCAGUUCGGAUUGGAGUCUGCAACUCGACUCCAUGAAGUUGGAAUCGCUAGUAAUCGCGGAUCAGCACGCCGCGGUGAAUACGUUCCCGGGCCUUGU
rnacentral:rRNA from 1 species